UGGGGAAUAUUGCGCAAUGGGGGAAACCCUGACGCAGCGACGCCGCGUGGAGGAAGAAGGUCUUCGGAUUGUAAACUCCUUUGGCAGGGGACGAAGGAAGACGGUACCCUGAGAACAAGCCACGGCUAACUACGUGCCAGCAGCCGCGGUAAUACGUAGGUGGCGAGCGUUGUCCGGAAUUACUGGGUGUAAAGGGCGUGUAGGCGGGGACAUAAGUCAGGUGUGAAAUACCAGGGCUCAACCCUGGGGGUGCAUCUGAAACUAUGUUUCUUGAGUGCUGGAGAGGAAAGCGGAAUUCCCAGUGUAGCGGUGAAAUGCGUAGAGAUUGGGAGGAACACCAGUGGCGAAGGCGGCUUUCUGGACAGCAACUGACGCUGAGGCGCGAAAGCGUGGGGAGCAAACAGG
rnacentral:rRNA from 1 species